rnacentral:lncRNA from 1 species
GAGGCAGGGUUGGAGUUGGAGCAGGAAGCUGAGGGUCUUGUCAUGCCCGCCCUUCCUUCCGCGUGGCUCCACCAGGCUGCCCUCUGGGAAAGGAGGCCCUGGAAUGCCUGCAGCUUCACAGCAGGAAGAGAGCACGGUCCACGUUGCCCACAGGUUCCUGCUCAAAUCCAGAGUGAGCCUGCAGGACAGCCGGAAAGCCCUCCCAAGGUGCCUCAGCCUGGAGCUCACCCAGGACGCAGAGCAGGUGCAGGUGCAGGUGCAGACGGCAGACGGACGCAUCAGGGGCCUGGUGUGAAUAACGCCCCGCUUGAGAAGCUCAGGACUGG